rnacentral:rRNA from 1 species
GGGGAAUAUUGCACAAUGGGCGAAAGCCUGAUGCAGCGACGCCGCGUGAGUGAAGAAGUAUUUCGGUAUGUAAAGCUCUAUCAGCAGGGAAGAAAAUGACGGUACCUGACUAAGAAGCCCCGGCUAACUACGUGCCAGCAGCCGCGGUAAUACGUAGGGGGCAAGCGUUAUCCGGAUUUACUGGGUGUAAAGGGAGCGUAGACGGCGAAGCAAGUCUGAAGUGAAAACCCAGGGCUCAACCCUGGGACUGCUUUGGAAACUGCGAUGCUAGAGUAUCGGAGAGGAAAGCGGAAUUCCUAGUGUAGCGGUGAAAUGCGUAGAUAUUAGGAGGAACACCAGUGGCGAAAGCGGCUUUCUGGACGACAACUGACGCUGAGGCGCGAAAGCCAGGGGAGCAAACG